GAAAUGCGAUAAGUAAUGUGAAUUGCAGAAUUCAGUGAAUCAUCGAAUCUUUGAACGCACAUUGCGCCCGCCAGUAUUCUGGCGGGCAUGCCUGUCCGAGCGUCAUUUCAACCAUCAAGCCCCCGGGCUUGUGCUGGGGACCUGCGGCUGCCCGCAGGCCCUGAAAACCAGUGGCGGGCUCGCUGUCACACCGAGCGUAGUAGCAAUCACCUCGCUCAGGGCGUGCUGCGGGUUCCGGCCGUUAAACAGCCUUACAAAACCCAAGGUUGACCUCGGAUCAGGUAGGAAGACCCGCUGAACUUAAGC
rnacentral:misc_RNA from 1 species